CCAUAACUGAGCGAUCCUGCAGAAUACCUUUGGUUGAAGUCUCCAAUACCCCAAGUCCCUCAGGUAUCGGGAGUUCCAGUACGCGGUGGAAUUGUCCAAUCCCGGUAUGUGUUCCGCGGUAACCGACAUGUUGUUCUGCAAACAAUAAUGUAACGGAUCGCCUGGCACCCCGACUGGGUACCUCCGUUGAAGGAUGCUCCUAGCGCUUCCUGAGGACUCCAAGC